AGUCUUGGACCACGUGGUGUUCUGGUUCGGCUGUGCUGACCGGCAGGUGAAGACACGCCGAUCCCCCUUCUCCCUCUGGGAUCUGGCAGGAUUUGGACGGGACGACCUGACCCCCUCCCCGCAUGCUGGAUAAUGACGCGCCUGCCUCCCAGUGCUCCACCAGGACCGGAGGCCGCCUUAAUUCCCGAUCCAGGGCCAGGUGAAGUUCCUGCAGCAGCCGCUGCUCCUCCGCCAGCUCUCCCCGAGGUCAUAGAGCCACCACCUCCGCAGGCUCGAAUCCCGGUGACAGAAGCCUCUGGCCAACACUUCCAGGAUCCGGCUCCAGCCGAACCGCCCAAGCUAUACCCGCCUCUCCGCCUCUCCCGACCACCCCAAGAUGAGUGGAGGUUGCAUGAGCCUCCGAAGGCAGAGCCGGGUGGGCCAGAAGAGCAUGCUGCUGCUGCUGCUGCUGUUGCUGCUGCUAAGUCGCUUCAGUCAUGUCUGACUCUGUUCGACCCCAUAGACAGCCUCCUACCAGGCUCCUCUGUCCCUGGGAUUCUCCAGGCAAGAACACUGGAGUGGGUUGCCAUUUCCUUCUCCAAUGCAUGAAAGUGAAAAGUGAAAGUGAAGUCGCUCAGUCAUGUCUGACUCUUAGCAACCUCAUGGACUGCAGCCUACCAGGCUCCUCCAUCUAUGGGAUUUUCCAGGCAAGAGUACUGGAGUGGGGUGCCAUUGCCUUCUCUGGAAGAGCAUGAGAGAGAGCUAACUCAAUUAUUCCCUGAGGUCUGGGUGGAAGACAACCCCACCUUCCCCCAGGCUGGCUAAACAUCAAGCCCCAGUGAUAAUAGAAUUGAAACCAGGCACCAUCCUGGUUAGAAAGCUCCAGUACCCGCUACUGAUAGAGGCCUGGGCCAGCAUACUGCCC
ensembl:lncRNA